AUUAUAACCGGGGUCGGGUACCCCAAAAAUUAAU
rfam:Leeuwenhoekiella marinoflava DSM 3653 genome assembly, contig: EJ63DRAFT_scaffold00001.1